AUUGAACGCUGGCGGCAUGCCUUACACAUGCAAGUCGAACGGCAUCGCGGGAAAGCUUGCUUUCCUGGCGGCGAGUGGCGAACGGGUGAGUAACACAUCGGAACGUACCGGCUAGUGGGGGAUAACCCGUCGAAAGACGGGCUAAUACCGCAUACGCUCUUCGGAGGAAAGCAGGGGACCUUUGGGCCUUGCGCUAGCCGAGCGGCCGAUGUCCGAUUAGCUAGUGGGUGGGGUAAAGGCCUACCAAGGCGACGAUCGGUAGCGGGUCUGAGAGGACGAUCCGCCACACUGGGACUGAGACACGGCCCAGACUCCUACGGGAGGCAGCAGUGGGGAAUCUUGGACAAUGGGGGCAACCCUGAUCCAGCAAUGCCGCGUGGGUGAAGAAGGCCUUCGGGUUGUAAAGCCCUUUCGGCAGGGAAGAAAUCGGCGGGGCGAAUAACCCUGCUGGAUGACGGUACCUGCAGAAGAAGCACCGGCUAACUACGUG
rnacentral:rRNA from 1 species